rnacentral:rRNA from 1 species
UAAGCGGAGGAAAAGAAACUAACAAGGAUUCCCCUAGUAACGGCGAGUGAAGCGGGAAGAGCUCAAAUUUGAAAUCUGGUAGCCUUCGGUUGCCCGAGUUGUAAUCUAGAGAAGUGUUUUCCGUGCCGGCCCAUGUACAAGUCCCUUGGAACAGGGCGUCAUAGAGGGUGAGAAUCCCGUCCUUGACAUGGACCCCCGGUGCUUUGUGAUACACUUUCAACGAGUCGAGUUGUUUGGGAAUGCAGCUCAAAAUGGGUGGUGAAUUCCAUCUAAAGCUAAAUAUUGGCGAGAGACCGAUAGCGAACAAGUACCGUGAGGGAAAGAUGAAAAGCACUUUGGAAAGAGAGUUAAACAGUACGUGAAAUUGUUGAAAGGGAAACGAUUGAAGUCAGUCAUGCUCUUGGGACUUACCUCCCUUGAGUGGGGUCAACAUCAGUUUUGAUCGAUGGAUAAAGGCACGGGGAAGGUAGCACUCUCGGGUGAACUUAUAGCCUCGCGUCAUAUACAUUGAUUGGGACUGAGGAACGCAGCAUGCCUUAUGGCCGGGAUUCGUCCACGUACAUGCUUAGGAUGUUGACAUAAUGGCUUUAAACGACCCGUCUUGAAACACG